rnacentral:rRNA from 1 species
AACGAACGCUGGCGGCAUGCCUAACACAUGCAAGUCGAACGAGACCUUCGGGUCUAGUGCCGCACGGGUGCUUAACGCGUGGGAACCUGCCCUUAGGUUCGGAAUAACUCCCCGAAAGGGGUGCUAUUACCGGAUAAUGUCUUCGGACCAAAGAUUUAUCGCCUUUGGAUGGGCCCGCGUUGGAUUAGCUAGUUGGUAGGGUAAAAGCCUACCAAGGCGACGAUCCAUAGCUGGUCUGAGAGGAUGAUCAGCCACACUGGGACUGAGACACGGCCCAGACUCCUACGGGAGGCAGCAGUGGGGAAUAUUGGACAAUGGGCGAAAGCCUGAUCCAGCAAUGCCGCGUGAGUGAUGAAGGCCUUAGGGUUGUAAAGCUCUUUUACCCGGGAUGAUAAUGACAGUACCGGGAGAAUAAGCUCCGGCUAACUCCGUG